UCUGGUUUUCUUGCUUUAUUCUUCUUACAAGGCAAAGGUAGCAGCAGCCUUGGACCGUGCAAAAGCAAAAUCCUUGAUUCUUUUGAUUUAUGUACGAGAUCACACGCCCCCCGGGCGGUUGGAUUAUAAUACUGGUAUUGAAGUAAUCAUCUCGACUCUGGAAAUUUUGCACAUUGUUAUAUUUUUUUUAUUGGGGUUUGAUUGUAAUCGAG
rnacentral:misc_RNA from 1 species